AGGUAAGCUACUAAGAGCGAAUGGUGGAUGCCUUGACUGGUAAAGGCGAUGAAGGACGUACUAGACUGCGAUAAGCUACGGGGAGCUGUCAAGAAGCUUUGAUCCGUAGAUUUCCGAAUGGGGCAACCCAAUGUAUAGAGAUAUACAUUACCUAUAUAGGAGCGAACGAGGGGAAUUGAAACAUCUUAGUACCCUCAGGAAAAGAAAUCAAUAGAGAUUGCGUCAGUAGCGGCGAGCGAAAGCGCAAGAGGGCAAACCCAGUGCUUGCACUGGGGGUUGUAGGACUGCAAUGUGCAAGAGGUGAGUUUAGCAGAACAUUCUGGAAAGUAUAGCCAUAGAGGGUGAUAGUCCCGUAUGCGAAAAACAAACCUUAGCUAGCAGUAUCCUGAGUAGGGCGGGACACGAGAAAUCCUGUCUGAAGCUGGGUCGACCACGAUCCAACCCUAAAUACUAAUACCAGAUCGAUAGUGCACAAGUACCGUGAGGGAAAGGUGAAAAGAACUGAGGUGAUCAGAGUGAAAUAGAACCUGAAACCAUUUGCUUACAAUCAUUCAGAGCACUAUGUAGCAAUACAGUGUGAUGGACUGCCUUUUGCAUAAUGAGCCUGCGAGUUGUGGUGUCUGGCAAGGUUAAGCAAACGCGAAGCCGUAGCGAAAGCGAGUCUGAAUAGGGCGCUUAGUCAGAUGCUGCAGACCCGAAACGAAGUGAUCUAUCCAUGAGCAAGUUGAAGCUAGUGUAAGAACUAGUGGAGGACUGAACCCAUAGGCGUUGAAAAGCCCCGGGAUGACUUGUGGAUAGGGGUGAAAGGCCAAUCAAACUUCGUGAUAGCUGGUUCUCUCCGAAAUAUAUUUAGGUAUAGCGUUGUGUCGUAAUAUAAGGGGGUAGAGCACUGAAUGGGCUAGGGCAUACACCAAUGUACCAAACCCUAUCAAACUCCGAAUACCUUAUGUGUAAUCACAGCAGUCAGGCGGCGAGUGAUAAAAUCCGUCGUCAAGAGGGAAACAACCCAGACUACCAGCUAAGGUCCCUAAAUCUUACUUAAGUGGAAAACGAUGUGAAGUUACUUAAACAACCAGGAGGUUGGCUUAGAAGCAGCCAUCCUUUAAAGAAAGCGUAAUAGCUCACUGGUCUAGUGAUUUUGCGCGGAAAAUAUAACGGGGCUAAAGUAAGUACCGAAGCUGUAGACUUGACUUUGUCAAGUGGUAGGAGAGCGUUCUAUUUGCGUCGAAGGUAUACCGGUAAGGAGUGCUGGAGCGAAUAGAAGUGAGCAUGCAGGCAUGAGUAGCGAUAAUUAAUGUGAGAAUCAUUAACGCCGUAAACCCAAGGUUUCCUACGCGAUGCUCGUCAUCGUAGGGUUAGUCGGGUCCUAAGUCGAGUCCGAAAGGGGUAGACGAUGGCAAAUUGGUUAAUAUUCCAAUACCAACAUUAGUGUGCGAUGGAAGGACGCUUAGGGCUAAGGGGGCUAGCGGAUGGAAGUGCUAGUCUAAGGUCGUAGGUGCUUAUACAGGCAAAUCCGUAUAAGAAUACACCGAGAACUGAAAGGCUUUUUGAAGUCUUCGGAUGGAUAGAAGAACCCCUGAUGCCGUCGAGCCAAGAAAAGUUUCUAAGUUUAGCUAAUGUUGCCCGUACCGUAAACCGACACAGGUGGGUGGGAUGAGUAUUCUAAGGCGCGUGGAAGAACUCUCUUUAAGGAACUCUGCAAAAUAGCACCGUAUCUUCGGUAUAAGGUGUGGUUCGCUUCGUAUUAGGAUUUACUCCGAAAGCGAAGAAACUUACAACAAAGAGUCCCUCCCGACUGUUUACCAAAAACACAGCACUCUGCUAACUCGUAAGAGGAUGUAUAGGGUGUGACGCCUGCCCGGUGCUCGAAGGUUAAUUGAUGGGGUUAGCAUUAGCGAAGCUCUUGAUCGAAGCCCGAGUAAACGGCGGCCGUAACUAUAACGGUCCUAAGGUAGCGAAAUUCCUUGUCGGUUAAAUACCGACCUGCAUGAAUGGCGUAACGAGAUGGGAGCUGUCUCAAAGAGGGAUCCAGUGAAAUUGUAGUGGAGGUGAAAAUUCCUCCUACCCGCGGCAAGACGGAAAGACCCCGUGGACCUUUACUACAGCUUGACACUGCUACUUGGAUAAGAAUGUGCAGGAUAGGUGGGAGGCUUUGAGUAUAUGACGCCAGUUGUAUAUGAGCCAUUGUUGAGAUACCACUCUUUCUUAUUUGGGUAGCUAACCAGCUUGAGUUAUCCUCAAGUGGGACAAUGUCUGGUGGGUAGUUUGACUGGGGCGGUCGCCUCCCAAAUAAUAACGGAGGCUUACAAAGGUUGGCUCAGAACGGUUGGAAAUCGUUCGUAGAGUAUAAAGGUAUAAGCCAGCUUAACUGCAAGACAUACAAGUCAAGCAGAGACGAAAGUCGGUCUUAGUGAUCCGGUGGUUCUGUGUGGAAGGGCCAUCGCUCAAAGGAUAAAAGGUACCCCGGGGAUAACAGGCUGAUCUCCCCCAAGAGCUCACAUCGACGGGGAGGUUUGGCACCUCGAUGUCGGCUCAUCGCAUCCUGGGGCUGGAGCAGGUCCCAAGGGUAUGGCUGUUCGCCAUUUAAAGCGGUACGCGAGCUGGGUUCAGAACGUCGUGAGACAGUUCGGUCCCUAUCUGCCGUGGGCGUAAGAAGAUUGAAGAGAUUUGACCCUAGUACGAGAGGACCGGGUUGAACAAACCACUGGUGUAGCUGUUGUUCUGCCAAGAGCAUCGCAGCGUAGCUAAGUUUGGAAAGGAUAAACGCUGAAAGCAUCUAAGCGUGAAGCCAACUCUAAGAUGAAUCUUCUCUAAGCUCUCUAGAAGACUACUAGUUUGAUAGGCUGGGUGUGUAAUGGAUGAAAGUCCUUUAGCUGACCAGUACUAAUAGAGCGUUUGGCUUAUCUUU
rnacentral:rRNA from 1 species